AGGACGAACGCUGGCGGCGUGCUUAACACAUGCAAGUCGAACGGACGAGUGAGAUAAGUUUACUUAACUCACAAGUUAGUGGCGGACGGGUGAGUAACACGUGGAUAAUCUACCUGCAACACCGGGAUAACGCUGUGAAAACGGUGCUAAUACCGGAUACGUUCCCUUGUGCGCAUGUAUGAGGGAAGAAAGCUCAGGCGGUUGCAGAUGAGUCCGCGGCUGAUUAGCUAGUUGGUGAGGUAAAGGCUCACCAAGGCGAUGAUCAGUAGCCGGCCUGAGAGGGUGAACGGCCACACUGGGACUGAGACACGGCCCAGACUCCUACGGGAGGCAGCAGUGGGGAAUCUUCCGCAAUGGGCGCAAGCCUGACGGAGCAACGCCGCGUGGGUGAAGAAGGCCUUCGGGUUGUAAAGCCCUGUCUUAUGGGAAGAAGUCAGUGACGGUACCAUAGGAGGAAGCCACGGCUAACUACGUG
rnacentral:rRNA from 1 species